UACGGAGGGUGCAAGCGUUGUUCGGAAUCAUUGGGCGUAAAGCGCGUGUAGGCGGCCUGGUAAGUCGGGUGUGAAAUCCCGGGGCCCAACCCCGGAACUGCAUUCGAAACUGCCUCGCUAGAGUCCCGGAGAGGAAGGCGGAAUUCCAGGUGUAGAGGUGAAAUUCGUAGAUAUCGGGAGGAACACCAGCGGCGAAGGCGGCCUUCUGGACGGUGACUGACGCUGAGACGAGAAAGCGUGGGGAGCAAACAGG
rnacentral:rRNA from 1 species